rnacentral:rRNA from 1 species
UUGCCAGGCGCAGCCUAUACAUGCAAGUUGAGCGCUGAAGGUUGGUACUUGUACCGACUGGAUGAGCAGCGAACGGGUGAGUAACGCGUGGGGAAUCUGCCUUUGAGCGGGGGACAACAUUUGGAAACGAAUGCUAAUACCGCAUAACAACUUUAAACACAAGUUUUAAGUUUGAAAGAUGCAAUUGCAUCACUCAAAGAUGAUCCCGCGUUGUAUUAGCUAGUUGGUGAGGUAAAGGCUCACCAAGGCGAUGAUACAUAGCCGACCUGAGAGGGUGAUCGGCCACAUUGGGACUGAGACACGGCCCAAACUCCUACGGGAGGCAGCAGUAGGGAAUCUUCGGCAAUGGACGAAAGUCUGACCGAGCAACGCCGCGUGAGUGAAGAAGGUUUUCGGAUCGUAAAACUCUGUUGGUAGAGAAGAACGUUGGUGAGAGUGGAAAGCUCAUCAAGUGACGGUAACUACCCAGAAAGGGACGGCUAACUACGUGCCAGCAGCCGCGGUAAUACGUAGGUCCCGAGCGUUGUCCGGAUUUAUUGGGCGUAAAGCGAGCGCAGGUGGUUUAUUAAGUCUGGUGUAAAAGGCAGUGGCUCAACCAUUGUAUGCAUUGGAAACUGGUAGACUUGAGUGCAGGAGAGGAGAGUGGAAUUCCAUGUGUAGCGGUGAAAUGCGUAGAUAUAUGGGAGGAACACCGGUGGCGAAAGCGGCUCUCUGGCCUGUAACUGACACUGAGCUCGAAAGCGUGGGGAGCAAACAGGAUUAGAUACCCUGGUAGUCCACGCCGUAAACGAUGAGUGCUAGAUGUAGGGAGCUAUA